rfam:Alligator mississippiensis ScZkoYb_190, whole genome shotgun sequence.
AUGUCUUUGUCUAUCUUCGACUCUGAAAAAGGAGCCUGUAAACAGUGUAGUAUUUGUUCUUAUCAGUUUAAUAUCUGAUAUGUCCUCGAUGUGAGGACUUUAUAUUAAAUGGAUUUUUGGGACUAGGAGAUGGACUCGGAGCUUGCUCCAUCCACUCCACGCAUCGGCCUGGUAAACCGAAC